rnacentral:lncRNA from 1 species
CCAUGCAAAUAUCCAUGUAGGAUGAUAUUUUGAUAUCUAGUCUAGAUAGAGAUCACCUCAAAUUGACAACCAAGAGUAAAACGUUGGCAUAUUUUCCAGAAGAGAAUGUCGUGAAGCUACAUCAUAGGUUUGAGAGUAGCUUCUAGCAAUCAGGUCUUAUAUCUUUUAACAGAUUUGUUAGGCUUGAACAUGAAGCAUAGACCUAAGGAGAUUCAUCAGCACAUUCCCCUGCCUCAUUCUCAUGAAAGGCUACCAUUUCUUCCAUUAUAGACUUUCUCUAGUAUUAGUGAAGGCCUCUUGGAGGAGCUAAAGAAAAAUUUAAAGACAUCGCAAGACCAAAGGAAUUACAAAUGAAAAUGUUUUGAAUGACACAAAGUGACUAAUAGGAUGAAAAAAUAGGUUAUUUUUUUGUUGUCAGUUGGAUCUCCAAUUGAGGUGAUCAAUGAAUUGAAUAGCAUGCCUUUAGAGGCUUUCCCUUUAUAUCUCCUGGCAUAACGGAUAGGCUGAGAAGACUCUUUAAAAUGAAGUUGAUUAUCCCAAUAGUGCUAGGGUUGCAAAUAAUAUAUAUAUGAGCAGAAAUGAAUUUCAGGUCUGAUAAGAUCUGAAUGUUUGGUCCUCUUUUCACAGCCAGAAUAGCGAGAAAGUACAAGGAAGGAAAAUAAGGGAUUCAAAAGGAGGAGGAGAGUAUAAAGAAAAGAGACUAUAAUAGAGGGUAAGAUCUCCACAAAGGACUCAUGUCGUUUAUAAAAUCCAUAGCUCAUAUUUAAUUUAUCACUCCCUAUAAAACCAUAUUU